CCCCGGUUGGUGUAAUCGGUAGCACAUGGCUGUAUACCACGGUCGUUUCGAGAACACCGUUCUGUUAUUAUACGGAUACACCAGCGAAGCUCAGAGGUUCGAAUCCUCUAUCUUGGG